GCCUGGGUGGCUCAGUCGGUUGAGCAUCCGACUUCAGCUCAGGUCAUGAUCUUGCCGUACGUGAGUUCAAGCCCCGCGUCAGGCU
rnacentral:tRNA from 1 species